rnacentral:rRNA from 1 species
GACCUGACUGCUAUUGGAAUAGGAUUAAGCCAUGCGAGUUGAACGCUCCUUGACUAUGUAAGGAGCGUGGCAUACCGCUCAGUAACACGUAGCCAACCUGCCCUGGAGAUGUGGAUAACCCCGGGAAACUGGGAUUAAUACACGGUACAUCAAUACUUCUGGAAUGGGUUUUGUGGGAAAGGGGUGAAUAAGCAUGUUUUUUCACCCGCUCUAGGAUGGGGCUGCGGCCGAUCAGGUUGUUGGUGGGGUAAUGGCCCACCAAGCCGAUAACCGGUACGGGCUUUGAGAGAAGGAGCCCGGAGAUGGACACUGAGACAAGGGUCCAGGCCCCACGGGGCGCAGCAGGCGCGAAACCUUCGCAAUACGCGAAAGCGUGACGAGGUUAUUCCAAGUGCCGUCCGUUGAGGAUGGCUUUUCUCAGGUGUAGAUAGCCUGGGGAAUAGGGGGGGGGAAAGCCUGGUGUCAGCCGCCGCGGUAAUACCAGCUCCUCGAGUGGUUGGGACGAUUAUUGGGCCUAAAGCAUCCGUAGCCGGCUCUGUAGGUCUCCUGUUAAAUUCAACGGCUUAACCGUUGAGCCGCAGGAGAUACCACAGGGCUAGGAGGCGGGAGAGGCGGACGGUACUCCGAGGGUAGGGGUAAAAUCCUUUGAUCCCCGGAAGACCGCCAGUGGCGAAGGCGGUCCGCCAAAACGCGCUCGACGGUGAGGGAUGAAAGCUGGGGGAGCGAACCGGAUUAGAUACCCGGGUAGUCCCAGCUGUAAACGAUGCGAGCUAGGUGAUGGAAUGGCCACGAGCCAUUCCGGUGCCGCAGGGAAGCCGUUAAGCUCGCCCCCUGGGGAGUACGGUCGCAAGACUGAAACUUAAAGGAAUUGGCGGGGGAGCACCACAAGGGGUGAAGCCUGCGGUUCACUGGGAUUCAACGC